GUCUCAAAAUUACUCAACACGAUUAUUGGGGAAGAGAAUAAGAAUUAUGAUGCAGAUUUUAAGAGGAUAAAGAUAUUAAAUGAUGAAACGAAGAUGGUAGAGCUUGGUAGCCAUCGAGAAAAUAUUAUGCCUUCUAAUCCUAAUAUUUCAGCUGUAAUUGACAAAGUAGGACUGUUAAUUGAGAAAGAUAAUGAAUUGACAGUAG